GUAGGUGAACCUGCGGAAGGAUCAUUAUUGAAUGAAUGUAGAGUUGGUUGUCGCUGGCCUUUAUUGGCAUGUGCACACCUUCUCUUUCAUCCACACACACCUGUGCACCUGUGAGACGGAGAGCGUGCCCUCUAGCAAGGGUGUUUUCUCCGUCUGCCAAUACACAAACUCAUAUCAUAAUUUGAAUGUAAUUGAUGUAACGCAU
rnacentral:misc_RNA from 1 species